UACGAAGGGGGGCUAGCGUUGUUCGGAAUUACUGGGCGUAAAGCGCGCGCAGGCGGUCUUCCAAGUCAGUGGUGAAAGCCUGGAGCUCAACUCCAGAACUGCCAUUGAAAACUGUUAGACUUGAGUACGAGAGAGGUGAGUGGAAUUCCCAGUGUAGAGGUGAAAUUCGUAGAUAUUGGGAAGAACACCAGUGGCGAAGGCGGCUCACUGGCUCGUAACUGACGCUCAGGCGCGACAGCGUGGGGGAUCAAACAGG
rnacentral:rRNA from 1 species